UCGAGAAUUUUUCUCAAUGGGGGAAACCCUGAAGGAGCGACGCCGCGUGGAGGAUGAAGGCUUUCGGGUUGUAAACUCCUGUCAUUUGGGAACAAGGCUCCGAAAUUAACUGUUUCGGAGUUGAUAGUACCAGAAGAGGAAGAGACGGCUAACUCUGUGCCAGCAGCCGCGGUAAUACAGAGGUCUCAAGCGUUGUUCGGAUUCAUUGGGCGUAAAGGGUGCGUAGGUGGCGCCGUAAGUCGGGUGUGAAAUUUCGGAGCUUAACUCCGAAACUGCAUUCGAUACUGCGGUGCUUGAGGACUGGAGAGGAGACUGGAAUUCAUGGUGUAGCAGUGAAAUGCGUAGAUAUCAUGAGGAAGACCAGUGGCGAAGGCGGGUCUCUGGACAGUUCCUGACACUGAGGCACGAAGGCCAGGGGAGCAAACGGGAUUAGAUACCCGUGUAGUCC
rnacentral:rRNA from 1 species